CGGCCAAUAGCUUAAUGGAUAAAGCCCUGCAUUCCUAACGCAGCUGAUACGGGUUCGAAUCCCAUUUGGUCGG
rnacentral:tRNA from 1 species